GACGAACGCUGGCGGCGUGCUUAACACAUGCAAGUCGAACGGAAAGGCCCUGGUUUUGUGGGGUGCUCGAGUGGCGAACGGGUGAGUAACACGUGAGUAACCUGCCCUUGACUUUGGGAUAACUUCAGGAAACUGGGGCUAAUACCGGAUAGGAGCUCCUGCUGCAUGGUGUGUGCUUGAAAGUUUCGGCGGCUGGGGAUGGACUCGCGGCUUAUCAGCUUGUUGGUGGGGUAGGGGCUUCCCAUGGCUUUGGCGGCGAGCCGUCCUGAGAGGGUGACAAGCCCCAUUGGGACUGAGAUACGGGCCAGACUCAUACGUGAGGAAGAGGUGGAAGAUAUUGCACGAUGGGCGGAAGGCGGAUGCAACAACGUCGCGUGCGGAAGGACGGCCGUCGGGUUGUAAACCGUUUGAGCCUGUGACGAAGCGUGAGUGACGGUAAUUGGUAAAGAAGCACCGGCUAACUACGUG
rnacentral:rRNA from 1 species